GACUUAGUGCCUAUGGGACAAACACCGGUAGCUAUGGACUUAGUACCUUUUAGACGUUGGUAGCUAUGGAUUUAGUACCUGUUGGGAAUUGGUAGCUAUGGACUUAGUACCUAUUAGUUAGACGCUGGUAGCUAAGGAUUUAGUACCUGUAGGAAUUGGUAGCUAUGGACUUAGUACCUGUUGAACAUUGGUAGCUAUGGACUUAGUACCUAUUAGAUAAAGACUGGUAGCUAUGGAUUUAGUACCCGAUGAAUAGACUAUAGCAGCUAUGGAAUUAGUGCUUUAUGAACGAACAUUGGCAGCUAUGGAUUUAGUGCCAGUCCCAUAACCCUGGAAGUAAGGGACUUCAGAAUAAACGAAUGCAGGAUAGAUGACUCUUAGGUUAAAUCCUUAAAGAGUAAAGAAGAUAAUGGGGAUGGGUAAUUGGGUUGAUUGUUUGAUUGAACAUAAUAAUUAUAUUAUUGUGGGUUGAAAACCCUAUGUACUCACCAGGUUUCCCAACCUGACCCACUCAGUUUAUGUAUAUCACAGGUGACGAAGUGAAGUGACAUUACACUGAGAGAUUUAAAAGAGAUGUAGAUCACUAGUGUAAAUCAUUGUAAGUUCUAUUUAUGCUUAUGUUUCGGUAUUAACGAUGACAUCCCAAACAUUUUAAAAUGAAAUAAAUACGUUUCUUCGAAAAUGUUUUAAUAACGUAUUUACCAUGUUUUUCUGGGAACAAAUUCCGCAACCUUUUUAUAAAAUGAAGUACUCUGAUUUUUAUAAAGCAUAAACAAAAUCGGUCUUUUCUGGCCGUGAUUUUGGGGAUGUCACAUCCCUCAUUCUAUACACCAACUCUUGAAUGGAUUUUCUACAAAUUGCAAUCCAUUAUCACUAAUCAUCACUUUGGGUGUUUUGAAUCUUGUUAUGAUUUUCUUCCAUAAAAACUUAAUCAUCUUCCUUCAUGCUAUGCACGCUAAUGGCUCGGUUUC
rnacentral:lncRNA from 1 species